GAUGAACGCUGGCGGCGUGCCUAAUACAUGCAAGUCGAGCGAACAGACGAGGAGCUUGCUCCUCUGACGUUAGCGGCGGACGGGUGAGUAACACGUGGAUAACCUACCUAUAAGACUGGGAUAACUUCGGGAAACCGGAGCUAAUACCGGAUAAUAUAUUGAACCGCAUGGUUCAAUAGUGAAGGACGGUUUUGCUGUCACUUAUAGAUGGAUCCGCGCCGCAUUAGCUAGUUGGUAAGGUAACGGCUUACCAAGGCAACGAUGCGUAGCCGACCUGAGAGGGUGAUCGGCCACACUGGAACUGAGGCACGGUCCAGACUCCUACGGGAGGCAGCAGUAGGGAAUCUUCCGCAAUGGGCGAAAGCCUGACGGAGCAACGCCGCGUGAGUGAUGAAGGUCUUCGGAUCGUAAAACUCUGUUAUUAGGGAAGAACAAAUGUGUAAGUAACUAUGCACGUCUUGACGGUACCUAAUCAGAAAGCCACGGCUAACUACGUG
rnacentral:rRNA from 1 species